rnacentral:rRNA from 1 species
AGAGUUUGAUCCUGGCUCAGAUUGAACGCUGGCGGCAUGCCUAACACAUGCAAGUCGAACGGAAACGAUGGGAGCUUGCUCUCAGGCGUCGAGUGGCGGACGGGUGAGUAAUACUUAGGAAUCUACCCAGUAGCGGGGGACAACUCGGGGAAACUCGAGCUAAUACCGCAUACGCCCUACGGGGGAAAGCAGGGGAUCUUCGGACCUCGCGCUAUCGGAUGAGCCCGCGUCGGAUUAGCUAGUUGGUGAGGUAAAGGCUCACCAAGGCGACGAUCCGUAACUGGUCUGAGAGGACGAUCAGUCACACCGGAACUGAGACACGGUCCGGACUCCUACGGGAGGCAGCAGUGGGGAAUAUUGGACAAUGGGGGAAACCCUGAUCCAGCAAUGCCGCGUGUGUGAAGAAGGCCUGCGGGUUGUAAAGCACUUUCAGUAGGGAAGAAAUGCUCGGGGUUAAUACCCCCGAGUCUUGACGUUACUUACAGAAGAAGCACCGGCUAACUCCGUGCCAGCAGCCGCGGUAAUACGGAGGGUGCGAGCGUUAAUCGGAAUUACUGGGCGUAAAGCGCGCGUAGGCGGCUUGGUCAGUCGGAUGUGAAAGCCCCGGGCUUAACCUGGGAAUUGCACUCGAUACUGCUGAGCUAGAGUAUGGGAGAGGGAAGUGGAAUUUCCGGUGUAGCGGUGAAAUGCGUAGAUAUCGGGAGGAACACCAGUGGCGAAGGCGGCUUCCUGGCCCAAUACUGACACUCAGGUGCGAAAGCGUGGGGAGCAAACAGGAUAUCCCCUGGUAGUCCACGCCGUAAACGAUGAGAACUAGAUGUCGGAGGGGAUUAGCCCUUCGGUGUCGCAGCUAACGCAUUAAGUUCUCCGCCUGGGGAGUACGCCGGCAACGGUAAAACUCAAAGGAAUUGACGGGGACCCGCACAAGCGGUGGAGCAUGUGGUUUAAUUCGAUGCAACGCGAAGAACCUUACCUGCCCUUGACAUCCUCGGAACUUGGCAGAGAUGCCUUGGUGCCUUCGGGAACCGAGAGACAGGUGCUGCAUGGCUGUCGUCAGCUCGUGUCGUGAGAUGUUGGGUUAAGUCCCGCAACGAGCGCAACCCUUGUCCUUAGUUGCCAGCGGUUCGGCCGGGAACUCUAUGGAGACUGCCAGCGACAAGCUGGAGGAAGGCGGGGACGACGUCAAGUCAUCAUGGCCCUUAUGGGCAGGGCUACACACGUGCUACAAUGGCCGGUACAGAGGGUUGCUAACCCGCAAGGGGGCGCCAAUCCCAGAAAGCCGGUCGUAGUCCGGAUCGGAGUCUGCAACUCGACUCCGUGAAGUCGGAAUCGCUAGUAAUCGCGAAUCAGCAUUGUCGCGGUGAAUACGUUCCCGGGUCUUGUACACACCGCCCGUCACACCAUGGAAGUUGGUUGCACCAGAAGUAGGUAGCCUAACCUUAGGGAGGGCGCUUACCACGGUGUGGCCAAUGACUGGGGUGAAGUCGUAACAAGGUAACC